rnacentral:rRNA from 1 species
GACAGAGGGUGCAAACGUUGUUCGGAUUUACUGGGCGUAAAGCGUGUGUAGGCGGCUUCGCAAGUUGGAUGUGAAAUCCCACGGCUCAACCGUGGACGUGCAUCCAAAACUGCGUCGCUGGAGUCUCGGAGAGGAAGGUGGAAUGCUUGGUGUAGAGGUGAAAUUCGUAGAUAUCAAGCAGAACACCUGCGGCGAAGGCGGCCUUCUGGACGAUGACUGACGCUGAGGCUCGAAAGCGUGGGGAGCAAACAGG